AGAGUUUGAUCCUGGCUCAGAUUGAACGCUGGCGGCAUGCCUUACACAUGCAAGUCGAACGGCAGCGCGGGGCAACCUGGCGGCGAGUGGCGAACGGGUGAGUAAUAUAUCGGAACGUACCCUGGAGUGGGGGAUAACGUAGCGAAAGUUACGCUAAUACCGCAUACGAUCUAAGGAUGAAAGUGGGGGAUCGCAAGACCUCAUGCUCCUGGAGCGGCCGAUAUCUGAUUAGCUAGUUGGUGGGGUAAAGGCCUACCAAGGCAUCGAUCAGUAGCUGGUCUGAGAGGACGACCAGCCACACUGGGACUGAGACACGGCCCAGACUCCUACGGGAGGCAGCAGUGGGGAAUUUUGGACAAUGGGGGCAACCCUGAUCCAGCAAUGCCGCGUGAGUGAAGAAGGCCUUCGGGUUGUAAAGCUCUUUUGUCAGGGAAGAAACGGUGGUUUCUAAUACAGAUCACUAAUGACGGUACCUGAAGAAUAAGCACCGGCUAACUACGUGCCAGCAGCCGCGGUAAUACGUAGGGUGCAAGCGUUAAUCGGAAUUACUGGGCGUAAAGCGUGCGCAGGCGGUUUUGUAAGUCUGUCGUGAAAUCCCCGGGCUCAACCUGGGAAUUGCGAUGGAGACUGCAAGGCUAGAAUCUGGCAGAGGGGGGUAGAAUUCCACGUGUAGCAGUGAAAUGCGUAGAGAUGUGGAGGAACACCGAUGGCGAAGGCAGCCCCCUGGGUCAAGAUUGACGCUCAUGCACGAAAGCGUGGGGAGCAAACAGGAUUAGAUGCCCUGGUAGUCCACGCCCUAAACGAUGUCUACUAGUUGUCGGGUUUUAAUUAACUUGGUAACGCAGCUAACGCGUGAAGUAGACCGCCUGGGGAGUACGGUCGCAAGAUUGAAACUCAAAGGAAUUGACGG
rnacentral:rRNA from 1 species